UACGGGGGGGGGCAAGCGUUGUUCGGAAUUACUGGGCGUAAAGGGCUCGUAGGUGGCCAAUUAAGUCAGACGUGAAAUCCCCAGGCUUAACCUGGGAACUGCGUCCGAUACUGGCAGGCUUGAAUCCGGGAGAGGGAUGCGGAAUUCCAGGUGUAGCGGUGAAAUGCGUAGAUAUCUGGAGGAACACCGGUGGCGAAGGCGGCAUCCUGGACCGGUAUUGACGCUGAUGCGCGAAAGCCAGGGGAGCAAACGGG
rnacentral:rRNA from 1 species